rnacentral:lncRNA from 1 species
CUGCUAUGAAGUUGCCUUCAAUGUUCUGGUGUUCCGGGAUCCGUUUUAGAUUAAUAACAGACUGCUCUGCCAUCUCAAUUAGAGAUUUGCGGCAAUUUGCCACUUUGGUCGAGCUCGAAGAAAUCGCGUUUAGUGAUUUAAGUCCCGCUUGGCUGUCACUGUAAAUAUUCAAGCAAGUAGCUCCCUGAAGUAGCUCCAUGAAGACAAGAGGGAGGCAAAAUGAGUGCCUUAUAUUUAGUUGCGUCUGAAAGCAUCUGACGGUUGAUGGUUGCCCUCAGUUGUAGCCCGACUAUUCUCUCAAAGGUUUUGAGGAGAAACGGGGAUAGACUAAUUGGUCUGAAAUCCUUUGAAGGUAAAUAUUUCCCGCGUUCGGGAUGAAGAUAAUUUUGGCCUUGAGCCUUGCUUAAGGAAUUGUCCCCACUAUCAAUAUCUUCUUGAAGUUGGGCUGGGAUGACCUUGUCAUCGGCUGUAGCGGCUGUUCACCGCCCAGCAGACGAUCCGCUUUAUUAGGAGGUGUGCCACCGAGG